rnacentral:rRNA from 1 species
UGCCAGCAGCCGCGGUAAUACGUAGGGCGCGAGCGUUGUCCGGAAUUAUUGGGCGUAAAGAGCUUGUAGGCGGUUUGUCGCGUCUGCUGUGAAAGGCCGGGGCUUAACCCCGUGUAUUGCAGUGGGUACGGGCAGACUAGAGUGCAGUAGGGGAGACUGGAACUCCUGGUGUAGCGGUGGAAUGCGCAGAUAUCAGGAAGAACACCGAUGGCGAAGGCAGGUCUCUGGGCUGUAACUGACGCUGAGAAGCGAAAGCAUGGGGAGCGGACAGGAUUAGAUACCCUGGUAGUCCAUGCCGUAAACGUUGGGCACUAGGUGUGGGGGACAUUCCACGUUUUCCGCGCCGUAGCUAACGCAUUAAGUGCCCCGCCUGGGGAGUACGGCCGCAAGGCUAAAACUCAAAGAAAUUGGCGGGGGCCCGCACAAGCGGCGGAGCAUGCGGAUUAAUUCGAUGCAACGCGAAGAACCUUACCAAGGCUUGACAUAUACUGGACCGCAUCAGAGAUGGUGUUUCCCUUCGGGGCUGGUAUACAGGUGGUGCAUGGUUGUCGUCAGCUCGUGUCGUGAGAUGUUGGGUUAAGUCCCGCAACGAGCGCAGCCCUCGUUCUAUGUUGCCAGCACGUUAUGGUGGGGACUCAUAGGAGACUGCCGGGGUCAACUCGGAGGAAGGUGGGGAUGACGUCAAAUCAUCAUGCCCCUUAUGUCUUGGGCUUCACGCAUGCUACAAUGGCCGGUACAGAGGGUUGCGAUACUGUGAGGUGGAGCUAAUCCCUAAAAGCCGGUCUCAGUUCGGAUUGGGGUCUGCUACUCGACCCCAUGAAGUCGGAGUCGCUAGUAAUCGCAGAUCAGCAACGCUGCGGUGAAUACGUUCCCGGGCCUUGUACACACCGCCCGUC